CGCAAGUUGCGCCCGAGGCCAACCGGCCAAGGGCACGUCUGCCUGGGCGCGAUCGUUACGUCGCUCCGUGUCAAAGUCCCCCAUCGUCGGAUGGGUUGGCGAAGGCUCGGACGUGCACAGUGGCUCGUCGUGCCCCCCGGCGCGGCGGGCUGAAAAGCGGGUCAUCAUCUCGUUGGAUGCGGACAAUAAGGGGUGGAUUAAAGUGAGGCCUAUGUUAUUGUGCCGUGCAUGCCUAAAAGAUGAUAGUGCUUUUUUGGUGAUCCCAAAUCAUGCGCCGAUCCACAGAUGGCGUUUUGAAUGCGACCCCAGGAUGGGCGAGGCCACCCGCCGAGUUUAAACAUAUCAAUAAGCGGAGGAAAAGAAACUUACGAGGAUUCCCCUACUAACGGCGAGCGAACCGGGAUAGGCCCAGCAUUGGAAUCGGGUUGCCAUGCAGCCGCUCGAAUUGUACUCUGGAGAAGCGUCAA
rnacentral:rRNA from 1 species